GAGACUGUAUACCAUGCACCCAUCACUGCAGUUAUGAGACUGUAUACUUCAAAAAAUCAUGAUUUAAUGCUUAUAUUUACAUUUUUUUUAACUUCAUGCCAUGUCUGCUAAUGUGAUUUAUACCUUAAAAUUCCUAUCUUAUCCUUAGGGUAAAAUCAUAUUAAUGGAAGAGCCACAAUAACAGCCACAAGCGUGCACUUUGAUUUUCGCUUGUGACGUUGCAGUUUACAGCGUUCAACGUUUGUGACGUCAUAAUAAAAAUAGUCAUUUUAACCUUUGAGUACCCUGUGUGCAUUACAGUGUUAUAACUGCCGUAGCUUUCAACACACUUUUUACAAGCAAAAAAUAUUUGGAAUGUAAAUAUAACUUUUUAUAUGCACGGAUAUGCACUUUUUACAACAGAUUACGUUAUUCAAACAAUAUUAAUCUAAAGUUAUAUAUAAAUAAUCAACAGAGCUGCAUGUACAUUGUAUACUUAUAUAGAUCAGUGCUUUAUGCCAUAUCUUUCAUUUACAUCUACAAUGUUUUUUGAACAAUUUUCAUUUUUUUUUUCUUCAUGAAAAUCAAAUGAAAUUUAGGAACAAUUACAUGUAACUGUAAUUAGAUAGCUUAUUUUUACUCUUUCACAAGCAAUAUAUUUAUUUACAGAUAUAAUAAAAUGUUUCUACC
rnacentral:sRNA from 1 species